AGCAACAAAUGCCCUGCUUCCAGGAAAAGCCUCUAAGCAUCAGGUAACAUCAAAUCGUACCCCAAACCGACACAGGUGGUCAGGUAGAGAAUACCAAGGCGCUUGAGAGAACUCGGGUGAAGGAACUAGGCAAAAUGGUGCCGUAACUUCGGGAGAAGGCACGCUGACACGUAGGUGAAGUGAUUUACUCAUGGAGCUGAAGUCAGUCGAAGAUACCAGCUGGCUGCAACUGUUUAUUAAAAACACAGCACUGUGCAAACACGAAAGUGGACGUAUACGGUGUGACGCCUGCCCGGUGCCGGAAGGUUAAUUGAUGGGGUCAGCGCAAGCGAAGCUCCUGAUCGAAGCCCCGGUAAACGGCGGCCGUAACUAUAACGGUCCUAAGGUAGCGAAAUUCCUUGUCGGGUAAGUUCCGACCUGCACGAAUGGCGUAAUGAUGGCCAGGCUGUCUCCACCCGAGACUCAGUGAAAUUGAACUCGCUGUGAAGAUGCAGUGUACCCGCGGCAAGACGGAAAGACCCCGUGAACCUUUACUAUAGCUUGACACUGAACAUUGAGCCUUGAUGUGUAGGAUAGGUGGGAGGCUUUGAAGUGUGGACGCCAGUCUGCAUGGAGCCGACCUUGAAAUACCACCCUUUAAUGUUUGAUGUUCUAACGUGGACCCGUUACCCGGGUUGCGGACAGUGUCUGGUGGGUAGUUUGACUGGGGCGGUCUCCUCCUAAAGAGUAACGGAGGAGCACGAAGGUUGGCUAAUCCUGGUCGGACAUCAGGAGGUUAGUGCAAUGGCAUAAGCCAGCUUGACUGCGAGCGUGACGGCGCGAGCAGGUGCGAAAGCAGGUCAUAGUGAUCCGGUGGUUCUGAAUGGAAGGGCCAUCGCUCAACGGAUAAAAGGUACUCCGGGGAUAACAGGCUGAUACCGCCCAAGAGUUCAUAUCGACGGCGGUGUUUGGCACCUCGAUGUCGGCUCAUCACAUCCUGGGGCUGAAGUAGGUCCCAAGGGUAUGGCUGUUCGCCAUUUAAAGUGGUACGCGAGCUGGGUUUAGAACGUCGUGAGACAGUUCGGUCCCUAUCUGCCGUGGGCGCUGGAGAACUGAGGGGGGCUGCUCCUAGUACGAGAGGACCGGAGUGGACGCAUCACUGGUGUUCGGGUUGUCAUGCCAAUGGCACUGCCCGGUAGCUAAAUGCGGAAGAGAUAAGUGCUGAAAGCAUCUAAGCACGAAACUUGCCCCGAGAUGAGUUCUCCCUGAGACUUAAAGUCUCCUGAAGGAACGUUGAAGACGACGACGUUGAUAGGCCGGGUGUGUAAGCGCAGCGAUGCGUUGAGCUAACCGGUACU
rnacentral:rRNA from 1 species